rnacentral:rRNA from 1 species
CAGUCGUACCAGCGGGAAAUCAACCUUUCGAGUGGGUUUUUGGAGUUUUGAAGUGUGUCAAAACCUUCGAGAUUUCAAAAUUUUCGCUCUUUUGGUGUACUUUCUCGUAGGUAGGUUAACAUCGAUUUUGAUCAUCAUAAAAGGGUUGGAGGAAUGUAGCUUCGAUCUCGUAUUGAAGUGUUAUAGCCUUUGAUAAAUGUGAUGAUUAGGAUCGAGGAUUGCAACGGAUACCCUUCAGGGCUAUUCGUCUGAUCUCUGAUACGUUGCCUUGAUGUUGAAAGCUUGCUUAUGAUGUUAGGGUAUUACGGUCAAAAGGUUAGAACGAAUUACA